GAAAACAAACAGAACGACAACAACAACAAACUUUUAUUAUCUGCUGACAUAUUUAUGCAGCGUUCGUGUUGACCCAGUUUUGUCGUAGUGUUUUGCUGCUGUUGUAAUCUGCACCACCCCGACUCUCCAAUAUCGCGUUGCCAUUUUGCAGGUCAAGAGACCCUUCUAAAGGAGCAGUUCAUCCCCAUUCCAUCUGGAAAUAGCCGACCACCGUUACAUUAGCAGAACCAGUAAAUAACCCAGCCGGGGAGAGAGGAGUCUGAAGGUGAAACGGCACCAGCCCGAUUCCUGAAAAUCGCUAGCGUCGAUUUAAAGUCAGCUGGAACAGGCUCCAUUUCAUCGUACUCAAAAUGGAUGCAGGAGCCAGACCAGAAGGGCAAUGACAUUGAUUUCCAGUCUCUCAUUUUGGAGAGACCGAGGUGGCUGUCCAGCUCAGUCCAGUCUCAAUUCACUUUAUGAGAUAUCGUCUGUGCAGAAAACACAGGGGCCUCGCGGAUGAAAUGAGAUGACGAGGCAAAAUAAACGGGACCGUUUGCGAGCUGACGCAGGAAGACCGGACAAUGCUUUCAUUCCUUCCUUGCAGCUACGCAGGUCUCCCGAAUUGCCUUCAGCAGAGGUAAAUGGCUGAUUCACAGACAAGGUAAACAUGACUCGGCUUUAAAAAAAAAACAUUCACCCAAGGUCCUGUACGUGCGUUGCUUCAAGGCUGCCAAUCUAAUUCCCCAGACGGUGACAUAAAGGUGCACCUACCUAUGAUGGAUUUCUUGCCGGUCUUCAUUUCUUUCCCAGCACUAUGUGAGCUCUUUCCAGUGAAUCAGCAACGGUGGAGAAUCUGCCUGCUGCAGAACAUCCAGAUCCAGAUAUCUGUGACCGCAGCCUGCGUAUCCACGUACACCUCCCCUUCUGUAUCUCCCUCUUCCUUUCGAUGGCUCUCACUGCAGCGGAAAAGUCCUCGAUUUAAAGGCAAACAACUUUCCUCCGAGCACCACCCCUCCUUAUUUAUUCUUCUCCUUUACACCCUCCGCUUAGACCAUGUCGCUGAAACUAAAGAUUUGUGACGUGACACCUCUCACCUCAUCCAAAAGCCACUAUACUGGAUCAAAACAAGAAGAACAACAAAAGAAACGGGUGUCUGGUUACGGCUCCCGCGAGUGUGGGAGUCCCUUGGGGGACCCCCACCCAACCUCCCCUCGUCUCCAUGACAAGCGUUGCCGAGCGGACUGGACCAGACCAGCACCCACUACAGAUUUUUCUCGAAUACAAAGGGAGGCACAGUCAUGCUGGAACAGAAAAAGGGCCUUCCAUUGUCAUCGGAAGAAGGGGACUCAAGCUUCAGGGAUUCAGAGGUCGAAGGGGUGGGGGGCAUCCCUUUGAUUAACCCUUUUCAUGCACCAAUAAUGAUAACCUGUAACCUGAUAAGCUGUCCACUGUAGUAACCGCUGUCCCUGAAAGGGUUAAUUAAUCGAUUCAUAGGUUUUUGUCACACUUGAAAUCACUUGAGAUUGCACAUUUAUACUCUCGUUUGGCCUGCGCAGGAAAUGAAUGAAGUCCGUGAUGCACAAUGUCCCGGCCCUGCUGAUAAACUCCCACAUAGGAGUGACUCGCUUCCAUGCGCCAUUGACGAAUGUACCGUAAAGUUUCCACCUCGCAUAUGUUCAAGCAUCUCCUCUGCUCCCCAACCGAGUAAUCUAUCCAAGGCCACUGGGUGUUAAGGAGAACAAAGACUGCGUCUGCGCGCACGAGAGCGAGCAGCAACAUUCAAGAGGAGAAGGAAGUGGACAUCCAGCCCACAGCUCGUGUGACUCCACGGGCCAUUCGAAAGAACAACAGCUUUCCUGAUAUCAAAACCAUGGAGCCGCACGUGCCUUCAUCAUCACGUUCGCCCGAUGUCAUCACCCGAGUGGAUAUUCUGAGGAGAAUCAGAGACAGAGACGCGGGAUUUGAACAAGCUGCCGACGCGCCGUCGUGUGUCAGCGCUCUGCGACUGUUUUCCAUGACUGAAAAGGCGAAACGAUGGCCGACCAAGCUCACCCCUCCUGACUGACAUUUGGGGACUGGUGUCGAACUUGUUGGGGAAAAAAAUUGAAGGGUUGACGAGGUGCUGUAACCGCCUGCCAUGUUUGCAAGUGACCUGUACGACAUGUGUGACGAAUUUGGACGAAAAGCACAAGAGUUAGACAAUGGUGCAAAACUCCCAGCGGUGCAACAAAAGCUCUUUUGCUUGGAUGUGAAGUGCAAUACAGUGAAGUGAGAUGCAUAGAAAAGGUCUGUAAAUAUUUAAUUUCAGCUGUGAACGAGACUAUUUAAAUUAAAAAAGGUUUUAUUUUCAAUGAAA